rnacentral:rRNA from 1 species
GAUGAACGCUGGCGGCGUGCCUAAUACAUGCAAGUCGAGCGAACGAACGAGAAGCUUGCUUCUCUGAUGUUAGCGGCGGACGGGUGAGUAACACGUGGAUAACCUACCUAUAAGACUGGGAUAACUUCGGGAAACCGGAGCUAAUACCGGAUAAUAUUUUGAACCGCAUGGUUCAAAAGUGAAAGACGGUCUUGCUGUCACUUAUAGAUGGAUCCGCGCUGCAUUAGCUAGUUGGUAAGGUAACGGCUUACCAAGGCAACGAUGCAUAGCCGACCUGAGAGGGUGAUCGGCCACACUGGAACGGAGACACGGUCCAGACUCCUACGGGAGGCAGCAGUAGGGAAUCUUCCGCAAUGGGCGAAAGCCUGACGGAGCAACGCCGCGUGAGUGAUGAAGGUCUUCGGAUCGUAAAACUCUGUUAUUAGGGAAGAACAUAUGUGUAAGUAACUGUGCACAUCUUGACGGUACCUAAUCAGAAAGCCACGGGUAACUACGUG